UACGUAGGGUGCGAGCGUUAGUCGGAAUUACUGGGCGUAAAGCGUGCGCAGGCGGCUUUGCAAGACAGAUGUGAAAUCCCCGGGCUCAACCUGGGAACUGCAUUUGUGACUGUAUAGCUAGAGUACGGUAGAGGGGGAUGGAAUUCCGCGUGUAGCAGUGAAAUGCGUAGAUAUGCGGAGGAACACCGAUGGCGAAGGCAAUCCCCUGGGCCUGUACUGACGCUCAUGCACGAAAGCGUGGGGAGCAAACAGG
rnacentral:rRNA from 1 species